CAGCAGCCGCGGUAAAACGUAGGUGGCAAGCGUUGUCCGGAAUUAUUGGGCGUAAAGGGCUCGCAGGCGGUUUCUCAAGUCUGAUGUGAAAGCCCCCGGCUCAACCGGGGAGGGUCAUUGGAAACUGGGAAACUUGAGUGCAGAAGAGGAGAGUGGAAUUCCACGUGUAGCGGUGAAAUGCGUAGAUAUGUGGAGGAACACCAGUGGCGAAGGCGACUCUCUGGUCUGUAACUGACGCUGAGGAGCGAAAGCGUGGGGAGCGAACAGGAUUAGAUACCCCCGUAGUCCCUGUCUCUUAUAC
rnacentral:rRNA from 1 species